GCUCGGGUGGUGGAAUUGGUAGACACGCAGGACUUAAAAUCCUGUGACCAUUGCGGUCGUGCGGGUUCAAGUCCCGCCCCGAGUA
rnacentral:tRNA from 1 species